rnacentral:rRNA from 1 species
GACGAACGCUGGCGGCGUGCUUAACACAUGCAAGUCGAACGAAGUGGAGAACGGGUGGGUAACGCGUAAUCAACCUGCCCUUCAGCGGGGGACAACAGUUGGCAAAGACUGCUAAUACCGCAUACUGAAGGAGGGGAUUGCGUCUGAUUAGCUAGUUGGAUGGGUAACGGCCCACCAAGGCGAUGAUAAGUAGCCGGUCUGAGAGGAUGAACGGCCAAAUGGGUACUGAGACACGGCCCAGAAGCCUACGGGAGGAAGCAGUGGGGAAUCAUCCGGAAUGGACGAAAGUCUGACGGAGCAACGCCGCGUGAGUGAUGACGGCCUUCGGGUUGUAAAGAUCUGUUAAUCGGGACGCGGUACCGGAAUAGAAAGCCACGGCUAACUACGUGCCAGCCGCCGCGGUAAUAC